GAUGAAGAACGCAGCGAAAUGCGAUAAGUAAUGUGAAUUGCAGAAUUCAGUGAAUCAUCGAAUCUUUGACCGCACAUUGCGCCCGCCAGUAUUCUGGCGGGCAUGCCUGUUCGAGCGUCAUUUCAACCAUCAAGCCCCCGGCUUGUGUUGGGGACCUGCGGCUGCCGCAGGCCCUGAAAACCAGUGGCGGGCUCGCUGUCACACCGAGCGUAGUAGAUUUUCAUCUCGCUCAGGGCGUGCUGCGGGUUCCGGCCGUAAAAAGCCUUAUUUACCCAAGGUUGACCUCGGAUCAGGUAGGAAGACCCGCUGAACUUAAGCAUAUCAAUAAGCGGAGGA
rnacentral:misc_RNA from 1 species